rnacentral:misc_RNA from 1 species
GAUGAAGAACGUAGCUAAAUGCGAUAAGUAAUGUGAAUUGCAGAAUUCAGUGAAUCAUCGAAUCUUUGAACGCACAUUGCGCCCGCCAGUAUUCUGGCGAGCAUGCCUGUUCGAGCGUCAUUUCAACCAUCAAGCCCCAGGCUUGUGUUGGAGCCCUGCGGCUGCCGCAGCCUCCCAAAACCAGUGGCGGGCUCGCUAUCACACCGAGUGCAGUAGUUUACUCUUCGCUCAGGGCGUGUGGCGGGUGCUAGCCGUGAAACCCCCAACUUCUCAAGGUUGACCUCGGAUCAGGUAGGAAUACCCGCUGAACUUAAGCAUAUCAAUAAGCGGAGGA